rnacentral:rRNA from 1 species
AGCGAACGCUGGCGGCAGGCCUAACACAUGCAAGUCGAACGAACCUUUCGGGGUUAGUGGCGGACGGGUGAGUAACACGUGGGAACGUGCCUUUAGGUUCGGAAUAACUCAGGGAAACUUGUGCUAAUACCGAAUGUGCCCUUCGGGGGAAAGAGUUAUCGCCUUUAGAGCGGCCCGUGUCUGAUUAGCUAGUUGGUUGAGGGAAUGGCUCACCACGGCGACGAUCAGUAGCUGGUCUGAGAGGAUGAUCAGCCACGUUGGGACUGAGACACGGUCCAAACUCCGACGGGAGGCAGCAGUGGGGAAUCUUGCGCAAGGGGCGAAAGCCUGACGCAGCCAUGCCGCGUGAAUGAGGAAGGUCUUAGGAUUGUAAAAUUCUUUCACCGGGGACGAUAAUGACGGUACCCGGAGAAGAAGCCCCGGCUAACUUCGUG